rnacentral:rRNA from 1 species
GUCUAUGGACUCGACUCUUGCACAUCUACGUCUUAGGUUUGCGCCAAUUCGUGGUAAGCUAGGGUCAAUGAGCUUAUAGGUGUUAUAAAGACUCGCUGGUGUUUGUCUCCUUGAGGCAUACGGCUUAAUCAAAACUCUCAAAGUUUGACCUCAAAUCAGGUAGGAAUACCCGCUGAACUUAAGCAUAUCAAUAAGCGGAGGAAAAGAAACCAACCGGGAUUGCCUUAGUAACGGCGAGUGAAGCGGCAAAAGCUCAAAUUUGAAAUCUGGCGUCUUCGACGUCCGAGUUGUAAUUUGAAGAAGGCAACUUUGUAGCUGGUCCUUGUCUAUGUUCCUUGGAACAGGACGUCAUAGAGGGUGAGAAUCCCGUGUGGCGAGGAUCCCAGUUAUUUGUAAAGUGCUUUCGACGAGUCGAGUUGUUUGGGAAUGCAGCUCUAAGUGGGUGGUAAAUUCCAUCUAAAGCUAAAUAUUGGCGAGAGACCGAUAGCGAACAAGUACAGUGAUGGAAAGAUGAAAAGAACUUUGAAAAGAGAGUGAAAAAGUACGUGAAAUUGUUGAAAGGGAAGGGCAUUUGAUCAGACAUGGCGUUUGCUUCGGCUUUCGCUGGGCCAGCAUCAGUUUUAGCGGUUGGAUAAAUCCUCGGGAAUGUGGCUCUGCUUCGGUAGAGUGUUAUAGCCCGUGGGAAUACAGCCAGCUGGGACUGAGGAUUGCGACUUUUGUCAAGGAUGCUGGCGUAAUGGUUAAAUGCCGCCCGUCUUGAAACACGGACCAAGGAGUCUAACGUCUAUGCGAGUGUUUGGGUGUAAAACCCG